AUAUUAUUUUUGGAUCUUUACAAGAAAAUCUGUAGUAAAAACGAGCACAAAUUUUAUCCUCAUCCUAAUCCAUCCAGAUUGCGAGGAUAAAUGAAGAGAAUUUCAUGAACAAAAACAUACCUUUCUGACGAUUUAACUAUGCGACUUCAAGUAUAUGAUGCAUUCCAACAAACUUUCAGAACAAACAAGAAAAUGCAACAAUAAUUGAAGUAAGAUAAAAAGAAAAGAAGAGGCGAGAUUAUGGAUCGGAGUGUUAGAAUUGCUUCACAGCCGAAUCAUAACCAAACAACAUUCCCAUAAACUUCACCACAAGCCACAAACUAUACAUACAUACAAUCGUUGUGGAGAGGGAAUCCCAUCCAAAACUGGACUUACGAAGUAAGAGAGAGAGAGAGAGACUGAGAGAGAGAGGAACUUUUGUAGGAUGGAUAUAUUUAGUGAACGGUACAAGUAGAAGCCAGUUCUCAAAUAGUGCAAAUCCAGUUUUAGUGUGAAAACAAGGGGCACGGUGAUCUGGGCGCGGGUUGAUCCGAAGGACGAGACGUCACCGUUUAAGGCGAGCACUGUACACGGUGGACAUGUCCCGUUUCACUCACCAAUGGUCAAUAGUGUGCGUAGUUACUGCUAGUGCCGCGCUCAUUAACGAAAUUCUGUCAAACCCUCCCAAGAAAACACCCUGGUAAAAAUUUUAGAGAGAGGGAUCAGGAAGCUUCAAUCCACAGGUAUGCAUUUUUGUUCGUGUUAAUUUUUGCGCAUUUUCAUCAUAUUUCUUUCUGUACGUACCUUUCUCUUGUUAUCUUGACGCUAAUAGGGGAAAUACAUCAAAAUAGUCUAAAUAAAA
rnacentral:lncRNA from 1 species